UACGGAGGGUGCAAGCGUUAUUCGGAAUCAUUGGGCGUAAAGGGCGCGUAGGCGGUUUAUCAAGUCAGAUGUGAAAUCCCGGGGCUUAACCCCGGUAGGUCAUUUGAAACUGGUAAACUUGAGUUCGGUAGAGGAAAGCGGAAUUCCUGGUGUAGCGGUGAAAUGCGUAGAUAUCAGGAGGAACAUCAGUGGCGAAGGCGGCUUUCUGGCCCGAAACUGACGCUGAGGCGCGAAGGCGUGGGUAGCAAACGGG
rnacentral:rRNA from 1 species